rnacentral:misc_RNA from 1 species
GAUGAAGAACGCAGCGAAAUGCGAUAAGUAAUGUGAAUUGCAGAAUUCAGUGAAUCAGCGAAUCUUUGAACGCACCUUGCGCUCCUUGGUAUUCCUUGGAGCAUGCCUGUUUGAGUAUCAUGAAAUCCUCAAAAUAUAUCUUUCGUUCAUUCGAUUGGUUUUAUUUUGGACUUGGAGGUCUGCAGAUUCACGUCUGCUCCUCUCAAAUGCAUUAGCUGGAUCUCAGUGAGCUCGGUUCCACUCGGCGUGAUAAGUAUCACUCGCUGAGGACACUGUAAAAAGUGGCCGGGAUUGCAGAUGAACCGCUUCUAAUCGUCUAUUAGCUUAGACAAUUAAAUCUUAUGAUCUGAUCUCAAAUCAGGUAGGACUACCCGCUGAACUUAAGCAUAUCAAUAAUCGGAGGA